GACGAACGCUGGCGGCGUGCUUAACACAUGCAAGUCGAACGAAGUGGCGAACGGGUGAGUAAUACGUGGGUAACAUGCCCUCCUUUUUGGGAAAAACCUUGGGAAAGGGGACUAAUACCGGAUAGUGUGGGAUGGGCCCUCGGGCUAUCAGCUUGUUGGUGGGGUAAUGGCCUAACAAGGAGGCGACGGGUAGCCGGCCUGAGAGGGUGGACGGCCACCUUGUGACUGAGAUACGGCCCAGACUCCUACGUGAGGCAGCAGGUGCGAAUAGUGCACAUUGGUCCGAAGCGUAAUGCAGCGACGCCGCGUGGGGUAUGACGGCCUUCGUGUUGUAAACUCCUUUCACCAUCGACGCGGUAGAUGGAGAAGAAGCACCGGCUAACUACGUGCCAGCAGCCGCGGUAAUAC
rnacentral:rRNA from 1 species